GAUGAACGCUGGCGGCGUGCUUAACACAUGCAAGUCGAACGAAGCAUUUAGAACAGAUUAUUUCGGUAUGAAGUUCUUUAUGACUGAGUGGCGGACGGGUGAGUAACGCGUGGGUAACCUGCCUUGUACUGGGGGAUAGCAGCUGGAAACGGCUGGUAAUACCGCAUAAGCGCACGGUGCUGCAUGGCACAGUGUGAAAAACUCCGGUGGUAUAAGAUGGACCCGCGUCUGAUUAGCUAGUUGGUGAGAUAACAGCCCACCAAGGCGACGAUCAGUAGCCGACCUGAGAGGGUGACCGGCCACAUUGGGACUGAGACACGGCCCAGACUCCUACGGGAGGCAGCAGUGGGAAUAUUGCACAAUGGAGGAAACUCUGAUGCAGCGACGCCGCGUGAGUGAUGAAGUAUUUCGGUAUGUAAAACUCUAUCAGCAGGGAAGAUAAUGACGGUACCUGACUAAGAAG
rnacentral:rRNA from 1 species